rnacentral:rRNA from 1 species
AUUGAACGCUGGCGGCAGGCCUAACACAUGCAAGUCGAACGGUAACAGGAAGAAGCUUGCUUCUUUGCUGACGAGUGGCGGACGGGUGAGUAAUGUCUGGGAAACUGCCUGAUGGAGGGGGAUAACUACUGGAAACGGUAGCUAAUACCGCAUAACGUCGCAAGACCAAAGAGGGGGAACUUCGGGCCUCUUGCCAUCGGAUGUGCCCAGAUGGGAUUAGCUAGUAGGUGGGGUAACGGCUCACCUAGGCGACGAUCCCUAGCUGGUCUGAGAGGAUGACCAGCCACACUGGAACUGAGACACGGUCCAGACUCCUGCGGGAGGCAGCAGUGGGGAAUAUUGCACAAUGGGCGCAAGCCUGAUGCAGCCAUGCCGCGUGUAUGAAGAAGGCCUUCGGGUUGUAAAGUACUUUCAGCGGGGAGGAAGGGAGUAAAGUUAAUACCUUUGCUCAUUGACGUUACCCGCAGAAGAAGCACCGGCUAACUCCGUG